rnacentral:lncRNA from 1 species
CAUGGCCAGAUCCAGCUCGCCACCUGUUUCUCUGCUGUUCCCAAGGAAGUACGGGACGGAAAUUAAAGAAGAAAGUGGUUCCACAGGUUUGGUGGCUACAAAAAGAUUUCCUCGAUAAACACUGCCCACAGUCACUCAUUUGUGAAAGCUGCAUGAUGUGAAAUUAAACUCGGGCAGAGGUGCUGUGGGUGAUGAUGUCUCGGUGGCUUGGGGAAAUGAAAGCCAUUCAUCU